UACAGAGGUCUCAAGCGUUGUUCGGAUCAUUGGGCGUAAAGGGUGUGUAGGUGGCGCGCUAAGUCGGGUGUGAAAUUUCGGAGCUUAACUCCGAAACUGCAUUUGAUACUGGCGUGCUUGAGGACUGGAGAGGAGACUGGAAUUCAUGGUGUAGCAGUGAAAUGCGUAGAGAUCAUGAGGAAGACCAGUGGCGAAGGCGGGUCUCUAGACAGUUCCUGACACUGAGACACGAAGGCCAGGGGAGCAAACGGG
rnacentral:rRNA from 1 species